GCCCUAUCUUCUAUUCAUUUAAACUCUUUCCUUGCCUGAGGGAAGUGUUUUAUUACAUUCAGAGCCACAAGGCUCUUUGUUCAGCAUAUCAUACUACUAUGGGGAUGUGGGAAUACCACAUUUUCCACACCUUUCUAUCUAAACUCCUGAGAAAUGUUCUUCAGUGAGACAAGACCACAAUUUGGCCUUUCCUUGACACUGAAUCAUUUAUUUGAGAUGCUGUUGAAGAAGACGACUUGGGUCGAAGCCCUUUCAAAGCUCGUGAUGGUGUUGAAAGGUAUGAAAUCCAUCACUAAUGAAUUUUUAUUCCCCUCACCUGAAAUUUUCUAAGGGCAAUAACAGAGGGAGUACAUGAUGUAUGAGAUGACUAAUAAAA